ACCGCUGACAUCACUAACUAGCCAGUUCCCUCCAGCAGCACCAGAGAGCUUCAUUUUCGGAUCUGCUUUUGUGUUAAAAUGGAGGCUGGCUCCUUGCCUUAAGUGGAUUGCCUUCCUGGUCGAGUUUAGAUGUUGACAUGCACUAAAGCUGGAAUCAGGAUGGUUGUGGAUGCACCUAAUUCCAAUGGGCCUUUCCAGCCAGUGGCUCUUAUGCACUUCAGAGGUACGUAGGAACCAUUGUUGCUUUUUGUCCUGGGGAAAAGAGAGACAGCAUUUCACUAGCUGUUCUCCCCCCCCCCCCCCCCCCCCCAUUGGUUAUUGGCUGAUUUGUCACCAAGAUGGGAAGAUACGGUUUAAUUAAGAGUCUUUGUUUCAGAAGGAUUGAUGUUUGGAAAGGGUUUGUUUCCUUAUAGGGGAUCGGGGAUGUUUUUUGGGGGAUGGCAUGCUAGCUCCAAGAAAAGAGAGUGUGAAAAGCAGGUUUUACUACCCCCCCCCCCCCCCCCCCACACACACACACACACACACACACAGAGCGCAGGGAUGUAAAAGGAAGUGAGGUCAUAGCCUAGGGAAGGGUUUUGUGUGUGUGUGUGUGUGUGCUUAUCUGUGUAAGUGUUUGAGAGAGUUAGAGAGAGGAGGGAGAAAGAAAUAGGGAAGGGUAGCCUUUGCCUGUGUUCAUUCUGCUUGUCUCUAUUUGGUCCUGGCUCAUGGUUUGUGUAACCCUCCAGUUCAUCUGGGCACAAUUUAGCCAUAGGGUGUUGUAGACUACUGCCUCUGCUGCAGCAGCCUCUCCCUGCCCUUCUUCCCUCCUUCCUCUUUCCUAUGGAGGAGAGGUUGCAUCCGCUUAAGAGGGGGAAAGCCUGUUAUUACCUUCCCUUGAAAAAACAAACCUUAACUUCAUUGGGAUAGGGGGCAGCAUUGGGAAGUUUGAAUAUAAUUAGUAGAUUUGGAUAGAAAACACUCUAAAGUUUCCAAAACUGCUAAAAUAAUGUCUGUGAGUAUAACAGAACUCAUAUGGCAGACAAAAACCUGAGAACAAUCCAACCAGGAAGUGGGAAAUCUGAGGUUUGUAGUAUUUUAAGUGAUUGUCUAUCCAAUGUCCUGUAUCUAUGGGGUCAGAUUGCACUUCAUAAGGCUUCCAGUACAUGUCAACAGUCUUUGGAAGUUGUUUCAGGCUUCUAUUGUGAAAGGGGAGAGAAUAACAGCUGUUUCAAGAAGUGGUCAGGCUGAAAUGGAAUGCCAUCCGGUGAAGAUCAUCAAAGACUGUGCUCCGGCGGAGCAGGAGAAGCUGUUUGUGCAGAAGCUGCGCCAGUGUUGCAUGCUCUUUGACUUCCUGUCGGACCCACUAAGUGACCUGAAAUGGAAGGAGGUGAAGCGUGCGGCGCUGAGCGAGAUGGUCGAGUACAUCACCCACAACAGGAACGUCAUCACAGAGCCCAUCUACCCAGAGGUGGUGCACAUGUUUACGGUGAACAUGUUCCGAACGUUGCCUCCGUCAUCCAACCCCACAGGAGCAGAGUUUGACCCGGAGGAGGACGAGCCUACACUUGAGGCUGCUUGGCCACAUCUCCAGCUCGUCUACGAAUUUUUCCUUCGGUUUUUAGAAUCUCCUGACUUUCAACCGAACAUAGCAAAGAAGUACAUCGACCAAAAAUUUGUGAUGCAGCUUUUAGACCUGUUUGACAGUGAGGACCCACGGGAGAGGGACUUCCUCAAAACCACUCUCCACAGGAUCUAUGGGAAAUUCCUGGGACUACGGGCCUACAUCAGAAAACACAUCAAUAAUAUAUUUUAUAGGUUUAUCUAUGAGACUGAGCACCAUAAUGGAAUAGCAGAAUUACUGGAGAUACUCGGAAGUAUAAUCAAUGGGUUUGCCUUACCACUAAAAGAGGAGCACAAGAUUUUCCUGUUAAAGGUCCUGUUGCCUUUGCACAAAGUCAAAUCACUUAGUGUCUACCAUCCACAGCUGGCAUACUGUGUUGUGCAAUUUCUAGAGAAGGACAGCACUCUCACUGAACCAGUGGUAAUGGCCCUUCUCAAAUACUGGCCAAAGACUCACAGCCCCAAAGAGGUGAUGUUCCUCAAUGAGCUGGAGGAGAUUCUGGAUGUCAUUGAGCCGUCUGAGUUCGUCAAGGUCAUGGAGCCACUCUUCAGGCAGCUGGCAAAGUGUGUGUCCAGCCCGCACUUCCAGGUAGCAGAGAGAGCUCUGUACUACUGGAACAAUGAGUACAUCAUGAGUCUAAUCAGCGACAAUGCAACCAAAAUCCUGCCCAUCAUGUUCCCAGCACUCUACCGUAACUCCAAGACCCACUGGAACAAGACCAUCCAUGGCCUCAUCUACAACGCUCUCAAGCUCUUCAUGGAGAUGAACCAGAAGCUGUUUGAUGACUGCACACAGCAGUUCAGAGCAGAGAAAAAUAAUGGUCCUCGACGGUAAAAACAACACAAUGAUUAAAAGAGAAAAGGCCAAGUCAAAAGAGAGGGAAGAGGCCUGGCUCAAGAUUGAGAACCUUGCCAAAUCCAAUCCACAUGUAGUGUGCUAAUGUGGAUAUUGGAUCAGAGUCCUAGUGAAAGUUCACAGGUUAAAAAAGACAGUAACGGAAGAAUCCACUCAGUUACAACAGAGAGACCAGAGAAAAGACCGUCCUCUGGUGCAGCGCGAGUCGGAUCUCCCUCAGGACAUCUACACCGCAAAAGCCUUGGAGACCCAUCGCCGCGCCGAUGACAUGAUCACCACCCACAAUGGGCUCUAGGUCUCCCCCUCCUCUCUCUUCUCUUCUGUCCAGUCCCCUAAAGGAGUACCCUCGCCCCUCCACACCCCACCUCCCAACCCACACAGCACAUUCAGAAUACUGGCCCGAUUUCCCUAUCUCGCCAGUACACUGCCCCACCUCCCUCGGAUUUCUGCUUUCUCUGGUGUUUAUUUUGCGGGGAGGGGUGGGGCCGCAACUCUUUUAGCUGUCGGUCCUGCGGAGUCAUUGUUUUCCUUAUUGUUUCCGCUGAAUUGUGCAUAAAACAGUAUAUCGGCUCAUCCCUCCCUGCUCUUAUUGUAUGAAUGAAAAUGGGGACGUUUCGUUCCAUCUGCGACAUGAAAUGUGAAAUGCACAACAAACGUAGAGAGCAGAAACUGAAUGAGGGAGACUUAUUUUCUUCUUCUGUCUUCUGUCAAGGGGAAACAACCAAAAACAGAUGGUUAGAUCGAGGGGUAGGACUGUUGGAUCGACUUUCCAGACUUUAUUUUUAUCCCAGGGACAUCUGCCAGUGCCAAAACCAUUUGUGUACUUUUUUUUGUUUCUGCGUCUAUUUUUCUCUCUGUGAUUUUUAACAAGGGCGACUAGCUAGGUAGAGCCUGCGUUGUUUGCCUUAAUUCUUUUGGUCUCUGAUGUUUUGACAAUUGUUUUUAAUAAGCUGAAGAGCAACACGGCUGUCUAAAGUGACUGAUCCAUCUGUUCUGAUGAAGUCACAUUGUGACAGGGAUUGAGAGAGGGAGGAAGGGAUGUUCUCUGUGCACACUAGACUCUUUACACUCUACAGUUUGUGCCAUAUAAAAGUUGUAUUUUGUCUUAUUUCCUUUCUCAUACCCAUCUGUUGAAUUCCAUCUGCAAUAUGUGAGCUGGAAAUUUCACAGUGAAAUUAUUGACAGAAAUAUUGACAGUUCAAACAAUGGUACAAACAAUGGUUUAUUUCAUAUA